AGAGUUUGAUCCUGGCUCAGGAUAAACGCUGGCGGCGCACAUAAGACAUGCAAGUCGAACGAACUUAAUCGAUUCUUUUAGAUUCGAAGCGGUUAGUGGCGGACUGGUGAGUAACACGUAAGCAACCUACCUGUUAGAGGGGAAUAACAGUGAGAAAUCACUGCUAAAACCGCAUAUGCCGUGAACAUCGCAUGAUGAAAACGGGAAAAGAGCAAUCUGCUAAUAGAUGGGCUUGCGUCUGAUUAGCUAGUUGGUGUGGUAAAGGCAUACCAAGGCGACGAUCAGUAGCCGGACUGAGAGGUUGAACGGCCACAUUGGGACUGAGAUACGGCCCAGACUCCUACGGGAGGCAGCAGUCGGGAAUAUUGCGCAAUGGAGGAAACUCUGACGCAGUGACGCCGCGUAUGGGAAGAAGGUUUUCGGAUUGUAAACCAUUUUAGACAAGGAAGAAACAAGACAGUACUUGUAGAAUAAGCUCCGGCUAACUACGUGCCAGCAGCCGCGGUAAUACGUAGGGAGCAAGCGUUGUCCGGAUUUACUGGGUGUAAAGGGUGCGUAGGCGGCUUUGCAAGUCAGAUGUGAAAUCUAUGGGCUCAACCCAUAAACUGCAUUUGAAACUGUAGAGCUUGAGUGAAGUAGAGGCAGGCGGAAUUCCCCGUGUAGCGGUGAAAUGCGUAGAGAUGGGGAGGAACACCAGUGGCGAAGGCGGCCUGCUGGGCUUUAACUGACGCUGAGGCACGAAAGCGUGGGUAGCAAACAGGAUUAGAUACCCUGGUAGUCCACGCUGUAAACGAUGAUUACUAGGUGUGGGGGGUCUGACCCCUUCCGUGCCGGAGUUAACACAAUAAGUAAUCCACCUGGGGAGUACGGCCGCAAGGUUGAAACUCAAAGGAAUUGACGGGGGCCCGCACAAGCAGUGGAGUAU
rnacentral:rRNA from 1 species